UUUUCCUUUUCCUUUUAUGCCCUAACCAUACUAUAAUAUAUGGUGUAUGGUUUUUAGGUAUGUGAAAACCUUUUGGCCGAUGUGCCUGCUAAUGGUUAUCCGGCAGACGAAUACGUAAGACAUGAAGAAAGGAUUCAGGAACUCGGUUUUGUUAGAGUUCACAUGCUGGGGGAUAACAAUUGUUGUCUAAGAACACUGGGAUUCUUUACACAGUCUAACCAUCGUCGGGUUAGAAGAAUGGCAGUAGCCCAGAUUAAGAGAGAACCUGCUAGAUAUAAUUCAUUUCGGUGGAACCAGACAGAGCCUUUUGAGGAUUACGUGACCUGAAUGUUUAGAGAUGGAGAUUGGGGCGUCGGUGCUGUGAUUCAAGCCGUUUGUGAUGUGGUAUGUUUUACCCCAUUAUUGAUAUCUAUAUUGGCUUUUUGGCGAAGUUUAUGUAUUCUGUACACUCCUUAAAAAUGUCGGAUAAGGGUUGUGGAUGUGUGUUCAAGUUUGUAUUUUGUAACUGUAGAAUUCGGUCCUGAGGGGUACUUUUACA